rnacentral:lncRNA from 1 species
UCGGGUUUCUAAAAGCUAUUUCAACCCCCCUCCCAGUUACUGCCACCCUCUCCCAGGUCUAGAGAGGGGUACCCACGGUGGAGGGAGGUGGGAGGCCGAGACGGCCCCGGGGGUCGGCGGAGACCCAGCGGGAGCAGGGGGAAAUCGGAAGAGCUGGGGGCAUGGAGCGGGCGAGUUUGGAGCGGAAUGAGCCGGGAGCCCUACGUUGUGGAAGGAAGACAACAGUAUAGGACCAUCAGCAGGACCGGACAGAGAGGGGCACGUAAGCAGUAAUUACUGGAUGGCAUAGUAAUUCUACUAAAAAUUAAAAUGCCACUUAUUGGAAUGGUGUGUGAACACUCUAAAGCAACCCGGGAAGAAGACAGCAGUCAAGAAGACCAAGGAAGGAAAUGGAGGAGGGAUGACCCCACCAUUACAGGCAGGGAAGGACUGACCAAAGAGACAGAAAUGUAGUCUAGGAAAUGUGUCAUCUUAGAAAGGAACGGGAAGGGGCUGGAGAGGUGGCUCAGAAGUAAAGAGCAGUGGAUGCUCUUUCAGGGGACCUGAGUUGGCCUCCUAAUGUCUUCAGGUACCUCCUAACUGCAUGUAACUCCAGCUCCGGGAGAUUCUGGAUUCUUCUGGUCUCCACGGCACUGCGUUCACGCGCACGCGCGCGCGCACACACACACACACACACACACACACACAAAUUAAUCUUAGAAAAGCAUAGGAAGCCUGAUUUUUUGUUUGUUUGUUUGUUUUGGGGUUUUUUUUUUGUUUGUUUUGUUUUGUUUUUGAGACAGGGUUUCUCUGUAUAGCCCUGGCUGUCCUGGAACUUGUAGACCAGGCUGGCCUUGAACUCAGAAAUCCGCCUGCCUCUGACUCCCGAGUGCUGAGAUUAAAGGUGUGCACCACCACACCCGACAAGGAAGCCUGUUUUAAGAAGUGAUUCCAUGGAGGAGUUCUGCGGCGGCUCAGGGCUUGACUAAACAGUGGACCUCAGACAAGAGAGGCUAAACCAGGCUGCAGGUGACAGGAAGAAUUGAAUAAACUGAAAGCAAAGGGCAGCCUUCUAAUUACGCUUCGUGGCUAUGUGGACAACCUGGAGAAGUCUGGAAACAAGCCAGAAGCCCGAAGCCAGCAGUAGAGCUCUGACUGGCUUGUAUGCCUAGAAAGGAAGGGCUCUUCUUUCGCCUCACGGGCACAAAUGGGACCCACGAGCGCCGAUUUCAGACUAUUCUGAUCCCUUCAAAAAGAAAGUUAGGAGUCCAGGCUACUUCACUUUGGUGAUAGUAAUCAAACCCUAAUCACGGUGCAGCCACAAGUCACAGAGACCGAAAUAGCAGACUUAUGACAGACAAGGAUGGAGACAGCUAAGGAACUGGCUAUUAAUCACCAGUCCCUCUGCUCACAGCCCAUUGGACCCGAGGGUGAAGGAUGAGGAGGAUGGAAGAAAAUGGGAGUGGCGCUUGCUGCAAAGGGUCUCGAAGGGUCUCAGCACCUGCGAACUGGCUCCAAUCCAAACUCCACUAUUCAUGGUCAAGUUCACAUAGGGCUUGGGGUUCUAACAAGAUGUGACUAAACUUACGUUUUCUAUCUUAUUGAUUGUUGUUGAUGCACGUCUGGUGGUACAUGCUUGAAGAACACAGACACCCUGAGAAGAAAGACAUAGCUCCCCAGAUUCCAGCACGCACUUCUCUGUGAGCUACCACUGUAGCUGAAGAUACAGGGCUCAGGAGGAACACUUGGCCUUCGCUCUGAACUUCAGGCCCACGUAACCAUCAGCCGACAUGACACUGCAAAGGCACCUUAGCUCUGCUGUCCCAGAUGGCCAAGCCAACCUUAUUCCAGAAGCUACUUCUCCUGAUGUAAGAACCAGACACAAAGGACAACCUCUGCCUCACCCUCCUUCACACAACACUGAGUCUGUCAUCUUUGAAGCAUUUCUCAAGCCAUGUUUAUUCCCCUGGCCUACGUGGAACACAGCCAGGGUACGGAACACAACCUCAGCACCGGUCUGCUUUCCUCUCCCCAUUUCUGGUCUUUCUCAGAUGCCCAGAGCUCCUCUGUCCCAAUGACUGCUUAUCAAAGAUCUCACUGUGUCCCCACCCAAGGGGUCUUUGGCCACCCUGUGAAGUCCUAGUGGCCUGGAGUUUGCCCCCUUUCCCAGACACCUUAGGGUUCCUGCUGCAGCUCCAGAACUGGGGGAGCAGGGUUGGGGGUGAGUGUGUGUGUGUGUGUGUGUGUGUGUGUGUGUGUGUGUGUUGACUCACCCUGCAGUAUUCUCUCCAUCUGCACAGGUCCCCAGUCUCUGAGACUGAAUCACCCCUCUUUCACUAUGCCUCUGCACAGCUGCCCUUGUGCUCCCUCUCCUUGCCCCGCCUCUUUUUAAGACAGUAUUAUGCAGCCCUGGCUGUCCUGGAACUUAUGUAAACCAGCCUGGCCUUGAACUUGCAGAGAUCCACCUGCCUUUGCCUCUGCCCCUGCCCCUGCCCCUGCCGCCCCUGCCCCUGCCUUUCUGCCUCUGCCUCUGCCUCUCUGCCUUUCUGCCUCUGCCUCUCUGCCUCUGCCUCUCUGCCUCUGCCUCUCAAGUGUCAGGGAUUAAUGCCUGCCACCUCCCCAGUCCCACCCCUCUCCAUCUACCAUGUGGGUUCCACGGGGCAAACCCAAGUCAUCAGGCUUGUUGGCCAGUGCCUUUAUCCACUGAGCCAAGCCGCUUGGUGUGUCUUUGAUGGUGAUUAUUUACAGGAGCUAUUCAGCAAGGUUAAAUGCUGGCAACCCAAUGAGGGGGUCUCUUGAUCCAAAACUGAGAAGUUGAGGCACUAUUUCAGAAUGACCAAAGACAGUAGAAGAAUCUAGAUAUGUCGAUGAUGAGAACAAUGAUAACUCCAAAAGCUGAGGGAAAUUAACUCAAAAUCUUCCAGCUUCCUUUUCCUUACCUAGUUUGGCGGACUCCAACUCUUGGGAUAGCUUUUUUUCUGGCCCCAAACUCACCUGAUUCGUCUGUCCACUGCCACACUGAAGAAUGAACAGCUGUCUCAGAGAGCUUGGCUCCAGAGCUCUGCAAAAAGAGGACACCUUGCCUUGAGCUGUGUUUCCAGAAUGUAUUGCAGCCCCCAGAGUCAUGUACUGUGACCAGGUGAGGACAUGCAUCUUCUGUUCUCCUGCACCCAGGGCCCCAGCAACCAAGGAUCUGGGGACAUGGCGGGUGUUUGGCAGGUUCGCACUCUGAAAAUAUUUGAUGAGACUCAGUAUAUGCUAAAUAAACACUGGAUCAAGUUCUUGGUCUCUCCUUUGGGGAAUUUACAGUCUAUCCUACAGAGAAGAUUGAAA